CUGAAUUCCUUCAUCAUUGGUAGUAAAGGGAACUUCCAGCAGUGUCCUGUUGUUGUUUUGGCUACCAAUGGGAUGUGCAUAUUCGAAGCUUUGCAGCACUUGUGCAGUUGGUUGGCAGGAAGUCCAGAAGGUAAGUUUCCGGCUCGAAUGGGAGUGAAAUGCCCGGAGCUGUUAGAAUAGCUUUUGUAUGACAGAAGGGCUACAAAAAUCAGACAAGUUCAAAAGAUAUGUGACGUACCAAUUUUUGAUUUGAGAUGCCAACAGGAGAUGGAAUUUGGAAAGAUGACUAAAAGUCUUAAGGGGACAUGAUACCAUUUCAGUAGCAGUUUGCGAUUUGUUUCCCAAUAGUUAUGCAAUUAAAUACUCCAUGCAUGAAGUGAGAGUAGCAGGCUUUUAAUGUGUAAGUAGGUGACUAAGGCAGAAGAGGGAAGUGAGUAGGUUGCCACGAACUCUGGGAAGGAAAACUGCUUAGAAUUGUUGAGAAACGUGGGUGAGGUGGGCAUCCAUCCAGGCAGUUAUAUUCGGGUUUGCUGUAGUUUUGUGGAUUAUGGUUGCGUAUCAAUUUCUUUGCCCAGUGUCUCCAAACGUAAAGGGAAUGUUUGGUGGAAAGUAUAAAUUGAUGGGGAGUGGGGGGCAGAGUGUGUACAGAUGGCUGAGCCGGUCUGGGCAAGGAAGCAGGCCACACAAUGUCCUGUAACAUGGUAGCCAGACCACUGCAUAUGAUAUUUAUAUGCUCAAUUCUUAGCCAUUUAGGAGUUAAUCACUUUGUUUAUGCAGCCCUAGUCAUACCUCCCUGCAUGUGACUUACACAGCCUUCAUAAACACUUCCUGUAAAGAGUCAUCUAAUGUUUACACUUCCGUCAUUGCAAAUAGUUUGAUUUAGAAUUUCUUAUCCCCUGCUAUGUUAAUAGCCUGCUAGACCCCGCAGGAGCCUCCUGUGUGUGAUUAAAGUUCAAUAUACAGAAAAG